CAAUUACGUAAUUUUGGAGUCACGUGACCAGCGUUUACCAGGGCUAUGUCGCCGCCUUCAAUUCGCGACUAGCCCUGGGUACGAGGUUGGGGUCAGCCUGGGAUUGCAUAAACCCUUCCUUCGCCAAGUAGUUAUGAAGUGUUGCAUUCCAGUUCCUACCACUCUGUUUGAGACCGUACAGAGACUUAUUUAGUUUGCAAACAAGUUUCUUACCAUUUCCCCCCACUUUUUCAUAGCCCUUAGGUUGUUCAACAAAGAUG